rnacentral:tRNA from 1 species
AUUUAUAUAGUUUAAUUAAAACAUUACAUUUUCACUGUAAAAAUAAAGGUCUCACUUUUAUAAAUA